rnacentral:rRNA from 1 species
UAGGGAAUAUUGGACAAUGGGGGAAACCCUGAUCCAGCCAUGCCGCGUGAAUGACGAAGGCCUUAGGGUUGUAAAGUUCUUUCGUCGGGGAAGAUAGUGACGGUACCCGAAGAAGAAGCUCCGGCUAACUCCGUGCCAGCAGCCGCGGUAAGACGGAGGGGGCUAGCGUUGUUCGGAAUUACUGGGCGUAAAGCGCGCGUAGGCCGUUGUCUAAGUUGGGUGUGAAAGCCCGGGGCUUAACCCCGGAAAUGCGCCCAAGACUGGAUGACUGGAGUCCGGGAGAGGUGGGUGGAACUCCCAGUGUAGAGGUGAAAUUCGUAGAUAUUGGGAAGAACACCGGUGGCGAAGGCGGCCCACUGGACCGGUACUGACGCUGAGGCGCGAAAGCGUGGGGAGCAAACAG